rnacentral:lncRNA from 1 species
ACUCGGUUAAAGUAACGUCGGAGACAACGGCAGUCAAGAUUUCGGUUGAACCGGCGGUUUUGAAUUUCAAAGAAGUGAACGAGAAGAAAUCGUAUUCGGUAACGUUUACCGUUAUCUCAUCUAAGGCGCCAAUGUCUAACAGCUUCGGGAGCAUUGAAUGGUCAGAUGGGAAACACGUGGUGGCCAGUCCCGUGGCGAUUAGCUGGACAUAGGUGGUCCAUGAAGAAAUAUGGCGACUUGAGUAAGAAGAAAGCAACAGAUAUUGUAAUUUCUCAUGAGCCUUGGAUAUUUAAUGAAAAGUAAAAAAUUGGUAAGUACUAUUUUAGCUGGCUAGUGUGUUAUGAAUAUUCUUAUUUACUAGGCUGUGGACAUUGUAGAUACUGACAAUUAUUAGAUUAGUUUAUGAGAUAUGAAAUAUACUAGGCACUUGAUUCACGUUGCAUGAAUGUGAACCACUCAACGUAGGAAACUAUCACUAAUCAAAUACAUCUAGUGUAUCAUAACAAUGUGAUUACGAUGAGUUAAAAAAUAUGAAUCUAAUAACAUAGAGAAAAAGUAGAAACGACUCUAAGAGCUAAUCAUAACCAACUAGAGGUUUCAUUUCAAGAACCAACAAUAACAAGUUCAUAAACAUGAGGUAAUAAAAGAUAUCAAUCGAAAUAAAUACCUAUCUUCAAACAAACUAUAAAAAUGUAUGGCUUUUGUUAAAAGCAAACUCACCUCUUUCCAGUACACAAAUUUGCAGAGAAAAAUCCAAAAAAAAAAAGAAAAGGAUAAAACAAAUUCACGAAUAGUAACUCAAUUUUGAUCAACGUCCAAUUAAAACCCUGAUAUGUAAUUUUAUUUUCAGAAACCCAUCGUGGCAUUAUCACUCAGAGACUAAUACAAUUGGACCAACCUGCCAGCUUCUGAUGUUGCUAUAUUUUUAUUUUUUUUCUGUUUUAUAAAAAUAAAAACUAAUGUUAAAAGAGAGAAUGUAUCCCUGUAUUGUUAACUAUUGAUAUGAUUUAGUUAGUCUGAUCUGAUGUGAAGACAUGUUAAUUCAUACCAUACAAACCAAAGUCUCAAAUUGCCACCCACAUUAUUUGGAUCCCAACCGUCAAAAGCAUUGGUUAGUUGGUGUCUUCGACGAAACUCAUUGAGAUCUUUGCAAAGUAGUUCGUUUCUUUGCUUCUGUCUUGUGAUGAGCCUUAAAGAUAUUAAUAGACUCACAACUUACAUAAACCCUAAACCUGAUUUUAAAGUUGAGGAGGAUCAUGAACUUUAAAGAUAUUAAUAGACUCAUAACUUUGCUUCUGUUUUGUGAUAAGUUACAGCAGCCGGACUAGGAUCUUCCACCAAUGAACCGAUGCAUGGCUCACACUAAUUUGCUUCUCUUAUCUAAAACAAAUUUCGGGGAAAUAAAGCGAUGAGUAGAGCUUAUUGAUGAUUUUCCCUUUAGAAUCCUCUCACAUUUCAAAUAUAAUUUCAAAUUGUUAUAAGGUAAAACUUUUCUGGCUAGAUUCCAACUAGUAGUUUCGUUCAAAGGGAGAAAAUGAGAUCAAAUUAAAUCGUCUAAUAUUCACUUUGUUUUAAUGGUUUUUAUCCAACCUAUAAACCAUUUUUAUAGUCUCAAACAAGUCACAGUAAACAUCAAAAAGAACACAGGUAAACUUAUGUUCACAGUCACCUAUAAACUAUCUUUAUAGUCUCAAACAAGUCACAGCCAAUAUAUCCAGUAUAGUAAUCAGUGUGAUAUAUUAUUUGAUGUUGAACAUAGGUAAACUUCUCUGAACAAAAGUCUUUAUAUUUUGUCUUUGAACAGAAGUCUUCUAACAUUAAAAUUUACAAAAAGAACAAAAAUAAAUUUAGAGACAAAUCAAAACGGAAAGCAAAACUGAUCACUUUCAAAACAGAAUAGUGGACAGAAGAGUCUAAGAGCACCUCCAGUGCAUUACAUAACAUAAGUACACCACCAAAUAAUCUUCUAGUUAGAGAUAUGAAUUAAAAGGCUAUAUUCACUUAGUCUUAGAUUUUUAUCAAAACAUAUAAACCAUUUUUAUAGAGACUCAACAAGUUGUCAGCAUCAUAGUUAAAAUAUGUUAAUACUAAAUAGAAACAGAGAAUCUUAAAAUAAUAAAACAAUAAUAAUCUCGAGCUAAUACUGAAAUAUAAUAGUCAGUGUAAUUGAAUAUAUAUUAUUUCAUGUUGAACAUAGGUCAACUUAUGUGAACAAAAGUCUUUUAGGUUUUGUCCUCUUUGAAGAUAAGUCUAUAAACCUUAAAAAUUUACGGAAAAAAAAAACAAAAAAAAAAAUCAGAGAGAAAUCAAAAUGUGUGUGUGGAAAACCAACAUAACAUACAAACAAAAUAUACUUUAAAGGAAAUUGGAUUUUAUACAACUACACCAAGUAUAAUCUUCUAGAGUUAUAUAUUAAGGUUAUAUUCACUUAGUGUUAAUGUUUUUUGAACAUCAUAAAGGUCUUCUGAAUCCCUCAUGGCAUGAUGAUUUUAUCAAAACUAUAACCGAUCUUUAUCAUCUCAAACGAGUCACAGUAAAUAUCAGAAUUAAAGAGGUAAUACUAAACAAAAACAUAGAAUCUCAAGAAAAUAAACCAAUAAUUGUCUCGAGAUAAUACCAUAGUAUAGUAAAAAAAAUUGAUAAUCCGGAGUAUCCAAAUCCGAAAGACUAACUGAUUUUUUGGGGUCGAUCCACCGGCCACAGACAAGCUCGUUUACUCUAUAUGAGAGUUACAUAUCCAAGCCGCCUAAAUAUAUGCAGAUGAAUAAAUUUAAAUGGUAGGUUUUGGACUCGGGAUGCUCAGCACGUUUUCGAACCUGUCGUAUCACUCGAUAAUAUAUGUAUGGUUAAUUAUAGUAAUUAGUGUAAGUGGAUAUAUUAUUAUUUCAUGUUGAACAUAGUUAAUAUCAUGUGAACAAAAGUCUUUAUUUUUUGUCUUGAUGAACAAAGUCUACGAAGAUUAAAAUUUACCUAAAAACAAAAGUAAAUUUUAGAGAAGUCGAAAAGAAAAACGAAAGAGAUCACUUUAAAAGCAGAAUAGUGAACAAGAGUGUUAUAGUAAUAUCUCCUCACUCUCUUUCUCGACUCUAUAUAAACUCUCUCGCAUCUUCACAUUUUCCACACAACUUCACAAAACAUGUCUUCUUCGUUUGUCUCAUCCACUGCUUCUUUCUUCUUUAUCGUUCUUCUUUAUCACGGUUCCUUCCACGUCUCCGAUGGAGCUCAACAAGCUACAUUCAUUGUUCACAUGGCGAAAUAUCAGAUGCCCUCAAGCUUCGACCACCACUCUCUCUCUGGUACGAGUCCUCUCUCAAAUCCGUAUCAGAAUCUGCUGAAAUGCUCUACACUUACAACAAUGUAAUUCACGGAUUACUUCCGAAGAAGCUGACUCACUCAUGACCACCGCUUACAAUACCUACAAAGACGGACAACCGAUCAUUGACAUCGGGACGGUAAAACCUUCAACGCCGAUUGGGCACGGUGCAGGACACGUGUCACCGACGACGGCCAUCAGUCCAGGACUCAUCUACGAUCUAACGACUAAGUAUUAUAUAGAUUUCCUCUGCGCAUUGAAUUAUAAUUCGUCGCAGAUAAUAAAAGUAUCGAGAGGCAAUUACACUUGCGAUACAAGGAAAACUUACUCCGUUGCUUAUCUAAACUAUCCAUCGUUUGCCGUUAACGUCGACGGGUCCGACACGUACAAGUACACACGCACGGUCACAGCAGUUAAGAUUUCGGUUGAACCGCCGGAUUUGAUUUUCAAAGAAGUAAACGAGAAGAAAUCGUAUUCGGUAACGUUUACUGUUGACCCGUCGAAGCCGUCAGGGUCUAACAGCUUUGGCAGCAUCGAGUGGUCGGAUGGGAAACACGUGGUAGCCAGUCCAGUGGCAAUUAGCUGGACAUAGUAGUCAAUUACGACUAACUUGAGAAAGAAGAAAGUUACAGAUAUAAAAAAAAAAAAAGAAAGUUACAGAUAUUUAUAUGCCGUUUUCCAUAAGAACUCUGUUUAGCGAAAACGGCAUGAAGUCGGUUUUCUAGGUAAUAUAACAAGAGACUUGAAUAUUUAAUGAAAAGUAAAAAAAUGGUAACGACUAGUUUAGCUGGCUAGUGUGUUAUGACUUUUUUUAUUUACUAGGCUAUCGACAUUGUAAGAUACUGAAAAAUAAAAUGAACAAUAUCAAAUAAAAUAAUAAAGCAAAGAAAUAUCAUUAAAACGAAUCAGCUUAAUAUAUCUUAUUAAAUAAAGUUUACAUAUUCCACGUCACUCUGGAGAGGGGGAGUUUUCUUGCCACGUGUCGCCUCACCAAACAAACGAUUUCUGUGUAAUCCGGUCUUAUUCGAACUGGGCUUUUAUUAAAUUUUAUUAUUAAGCUCAAUAUUAUGUCAAGCUCACGUAUCAUUAGCUAUCUUCUUCCUUUCAAGCUUGCGACUUCCCCGAUGCAAUUUCCAGAAACUUAAAUCGAUGUUCCUAUCUCCGUAUCGUCUCAGCCUUCCAUUAAUCCGUUCUUAACUCAGAGUUUUUGCGUGUUUGAUCCACCCCUCUCACUGCAAAGUUUUGUUUUUGUUAGGGAAAAGGGAUGAAGUCAGAGCGUGCUGCCAAAUUGAUGCUAGAGGCGCUGCUUAUGCUGUUCCUGGCUCUCGCAAGACGGUGACUUGAGGUUCGGCUCCUUUGAAAUCUGUGUGUUCUUUGGUCGUUUAUAUUUUUAGUGCGUUAAGGUGUUAGUUUCUGCUUCUUGAGUUAGUUUUAAGCAAAGUGUUGAGUAUGGUACAACAAUCAAGCAUAAAAAAUCGUCGUUUUUCAGUAAAAUGAAAGUUAGAUUCUUUGAUGUGUGAAUCUGUGGCUAUGAUGUAUUAAAACAUAUUGGUUUGCAGGGAGAUAAUGUUACAAUGAAAUUAAGAUCGUAUGGAUAGUUGGAACCUCAUUUGCAGCUGAAGAAUAAGCAUGUCGGUUCAAGUUUCUUACACACAGCUCCUCAUAGAUGGAAACUUCGUCGACUCUGCUUCUGGUGAGUAAUAUUUUCAUUCAUAAACAUCGGAAUAACAAAGGAAAAUUUUGAAUUUUGAGAUUCAAGUUCCAUGAGCACUAAUGUUUGGUUUUGGAUUGGGAGUUUAAGUAAGACGUUCCCGACUCUUGAUCGACGCACAUGGAAAGUCAUUGUGAACGUAGCUGAAGGCGACACUGAAGAUAUCAACCAGGCGGUGAAAGCUGCAAGGAAGGCCAUUGAUGCGGACCUUGGCCAAAGAUGACCGUUGGAAUUCAUGGACCAUAGUCACCUACAAUGUGGUCACUGAAGCGUUCGGGAGAGAAGGAGCUUGAAAAAAUGGAAUAUUUAUUAAGGCUAAUGCAAUCAGAGAGAAUAAAACAGAGAUGCGUUCACCACUGUCAUUUUAUAAGGAUUUAUUAAAUAUAACUGAUUUUGAAGGGUACUUCUCAAAACUUUAUACUAAUCUCAGAUUAGUCUAUAAGUGAUUUAUAAACUGUACAAAUGAUUUAUUAACUUUUAUAAAAUAUUUAUAGAUCUUUAUAAAUUGUUAUGGACUCUUAUAAAAACUUUAUAGCUUCAAAUAAUGCAUCGAUAAGGUAGCCUUUAUGUUCUUAACAACAAAAAAUACAUUAUUUGUCUUCUACCAUGAUGCAAUCAUAUCUCACUUUUUUUAAAAGGGCAACCGCCUCGACACAAAUAGCAACUACAAUAUUAAAUUUUCAAAUUAAUCAAAAUGGCUAGUUAUAAAUGUCCAUAAAUAAAUUACAACAAUAGCGGUUUCAAAUCAGCAAUGGAACUAUUAUGCUCUCUUAUUUGCGAUCAUAUUUUCUAUUUCUACUGCAUUGAUCAAUGGCUUCGUACCGAUAAAAGUUGUUCCAUAUAUAAGAAAAGUCAUCUAUAUUUCAGAAUUAUUACAAUUUAUAAAGGAGUUUCUUAUGUUCCAAUUUUUAGUUUUAUUUACAUACUGUUUUUUUAAUUUUCGUUUUAAUUUUCAAACAAAAUAUUUUCUCAUUUCCUAAUAUGUUCCAUUGUCAGAAUAGGUUUCUUAUCAAAAAUCAAAUAAGAAGAAUAUAUAUAAAAAAAAAUUCAUUAUAUACGUUUAAAUAAAACAUCAAAUUUACUUUAUGUUUAAAUUUUAAUUAAAUUAACUAUGUAACGACUAUCAAUUUUUUACUCUACUUUUAUUGAAUCGAUUAGUCACAACCACUUAUGCUAUUAUACUUUGAAAUAAGCAAUUUCAAAACAAAUUAAUACAUUACGGUCGUUAACCACUGGACCAGAAAAUAUAUAAUUUUCUUUCAACAAAUUUCUGUUUUCAUAUUUUUGAACAUAUUUUCUUUACUAAAACCAUAAAAUGAAUUGUAAAUUCAUGUAAAAAUAAAACACACGAACCCCGGCGCUUACCACUAGUAUAUAUAUAUAUACACUUAAAAAGUCAUUUUUUUAAUUUGUGUGGGUCUAAGCCAAAGUUGGAAUAUUUUUGCUGUGGUUUUGGAUUCACUAGUUGCCUAGUUGCCAACGUUUUUAGUGGCAGAAAACUCAGGCUUUUAUAAAUUUAGUUGAAUUAUUCUGAUUUUGUCCAGAAAAUUUAACUAGAAAAACAAAUUUUGAAGAAAACUGUUUAAUAAUUUUGAUCUGAGAUUUGGGCUACAUAUAUAUUAUGUGCAUAUGUUCUUUUAUUUUUGAAACUUAUGCGCAUGUGUUCUUUAAAAGGUGAAAUCGAUAGCUCUCUUUCUUUAUCUACUUGAGAGUAUAAUUCUUAAUACUAACUAGAAGAGGGUAAAAAUAGUGAUAUGUGUGUUUUUGGGGUAUGCAAUGCAUUUAACUUUGGCUAUCGAGUCCAAAUAAAUAUAUAUAUAUAUAUAUACUAUCUAUUUGGGAAGUCAACAAAAAAUAAUUAACAAAAAUUGUCGUAGAAAUAAAAAAAUUAAGGGGAAUUUGUCAAAUAUAACUCAAAACUUGAUUUUAACCCCCAAAAUAUCACAAACUUGAAUCAAAUGCAAAAGUAACCCAAAAAGUUUGUGAAAUUACAACCAGCCCCCUAUGGUCAAAAAAAAAACCAUAAUUCACUUUUACGAAUAUAAUCUCGUAAAGUCUUCUGAGAUUUUGUAAGUCCUCUAUGGUUCUGUAAGUUUUCUGGAAGUCUUUUCAUAUAGUAGACCUUAAAAAUAAGGGAGAAUUGCCAAGUGUGACUCAAAACUUGGAGUCAAACCCAAAACAAUACCCCAACUUGGGUCAAACGCAAAAGUAACCUAAAAGGCUAUUGAAAUUACAACUAUCCCCUUGUGACCAAACAAAAAAACGGAAUUUUUUUUACGUUUCUACCCCUCGCAAGUCGUCUGUUUAGACGACUUGAAAAUAAGUCGUCCAGACGACUUAACUGAAAGUCGUCUGGACAGUUAGUCUUAAACAUAAUUUAAAAAUUUUGUAAAAAAUAUUUUGAUAAGUGAAAAAUGGGAAUUAUGUAAUUAACAUAUGUCUUAGGAGGUAUAAAUUAAGAUAUAACAAAUUUCAAUUGUUUUCAGCAUAGAUGAGUGAAAGUAGUGAGUCAUGAUAUUCUUUAGUUUAUGUUUCAUCAACAUAUGUUGUAGUAUUGUAUGUGUUCUUAGGGUUAGAUUUUGGAAAGCAUUAAAACCGUUUUUGAAAAUUUUUAAAAUUACUUAUCCGUGUUCAUUUCUGUGUAUAGUAAACACUAUUUAAGUAUAAUUUGAUUUUAUAACGUGGUUAGUUAGUUAAUCUAGUCAUUUUAGUUUAGGGGUUCAUUUUAGGGUCUAGGACGACUUAAUAUUUUGUCGUCUGAAAACAGACGACUAAAUAUUAAGUCGUCUGUUGUACAUUAUCAGCCAGAAUAAGUCGUCUAAACCGGACCAAACCUUAAAGUUUACCAAUGUACUUUUAAAGCUAACCGGAUUAUUUACCCAAUAUAUAAGGUGAUUUUUUUUUUUUUUGUUUCAUUUUUCGCGAAAUUCAGAAACCCUAACAGUUCUCUCUCAAAGGCGAUUUCGAAUUCCCACGAUUUCCGAACAAACCAUCGUUCUCAACGUCGGCUAUCUAUCUCACUUCAUUCUCACCGUUGUCGCCGCAGCUUCUUCUAACCCUAGCGCCGCCGAUUCCUCUAAACCCUAGCGCCGCCGAUUCCUCUAAACCCUAGCGCCGCCGCUUCCACUAUUUCCGAACAAACCGUCGCCCUCGCCACCGUGGUCACCAACGUUCUCACCGCCGCUUCCUCUAAACACUAGCGCCGCCGCUUCUUCUAAACCCUAGCGCCGCCGCUUCUUCUCUGUAAACCUUAGCGCCGUUUCUCUGUAAACCCUAACGCCGCUAAGUCAUCAAUCUCGAGGAAAAGAUGAACAUAAAACGUUGUCUCUAUCAAUUUACUCAUUCUCACCGUUUCACGUUUAUUUUUUCAGAUCUAUAACCGCAAUGACGAGUACUCCAACUCCUUCUGCGACUGGAAGACUUGUAAGUAAUUUAAGUCGUCCGGCUUUGUCUUCCAACUGGACGACUUAGUAGAUGACUUAAAUAUAAGUCGUCCAUUUGGAAGACUUUCCAGACGACUUAAAUUUAAGUCGUCUACUAAGUCGUCUGGACUUAUAUUGUUGUCUUUGAUUAUUUUGCAGACAAAAAGGAUGGAUAUUCCAGAACUCCCCCGUAGGUUAUACACAUCAGGGGAAGAGCCAGAAGCCCACAAUAGCAUUUCGUAUCAUACGGAUAACAGCAAGUUGCAUACUGCUCUUAGGAAAGCUCUUACUGAUGACGAAUUUGAAGAGCUCAAGGAGUCGAGUUUGGGAGUUUUCAUCAAGUUCAAGGAGCAGGGAUUUGGUUGGGCUUCAAGGCUGGUUCACUACAUGCUCAGUUUCAAGCUGGACAUUAAGAAGAAGUAUGAGAUGUGGUCUCUCGUUGGUCCAGAACCUUUGAGGUUUUCACUGUUAGAGUUUGAAAACCUCACUGGUCUAAACUGCGAGUACAUCGAGGACCUUGAGACACCAAAAUGUGACGUUACCCCAGAGAUGGUUUCUUUCUGGGGGAUGCUGGGAGUUCAUCUGGAAGCUGGGCCAACUACUGAUCAGAUAAUAGCAGCACUGAAGAGAUGCGGGGAUUGGUCCAGGGAAGAUCGCAAGCGGCUCGCGUACCUCUCCAUCUUCACUGGAUUCAUUGAAGGGAGAAAGUUUUCAACCGCUACACGAUCUACUCUGGCAAGGCUAGUGAUGGAUUUAGAACGGUUUGAGAAUUAUCCAUGGGGGAGAGUCGCGUUUAAGGUGCUGAUGGACUCUUUGUGGAACAAAGAAAUUGCUGGCUGUUACACCGUGGAUGGGUUUAUACAAGUUCUUCAAGUCUGGACGUACACAGCUAUGCCGGAAUUGGGUGCUAGUAUUGGUGGUCCCAGAGCAGACAGUCCGUCUCCACCGAUACUGGCUUACGAGGGCAGCAGAGGCCGCAGAUCAAUGAAAGCUGCUAUCUUGAGUCAGGUAUUUACUUCAAUCCAAAAGACUGCGCAGACGACUUAUUAUAAGUCGUCUGGAAGGUCGUCCAGCUUGACGACUUAUUAGACGACUUAUAAUAAGUCGUCUGGAAAGUCUUCCCAGCUGGACGACUUAUCGGACGACUUAAUUAAGUCGUCUGGAAAGUCUUCCAUCUGGACGACUUAUUAGACGACUUAUAAUAAGUCGUCUGGAAAGUCUUCCCAGCUGGACGACUUAUCGGACGACUUAAUUAAGUCGUCUGGAAAGUCUUCCAUCUGGACGACUUAUUAGACGACUUAUUAUAAGUCGUCUGGAAGGUCUUCCAUCUGGACGACUUAUUAGACGACUUAUAAUAAGGCGUCUGGAAAGUCUUCCCAGCUGGACGACUUAUCGGACGACUUAAUUAAGUCGUCUGGAAAGUCUUCCAUCUGGACGACUUAUUAGACGACUUAUUAUAAGUCGUCUGGAAGGUCUUCCAGCUGGACGACUUAGUAGACGACUUAUAAUUAAGUCGUCUAUUUAGUAUUUUUUUUCAAAUAUCUAACUCGAUUCUUCUAUUUACUGCAGACCCGCGUGAUCAACUUUGUUGAGAAGGACAUUAGUGAAAUGUGGCCAAAAUGGGACUCUGAGGUUGAGGACCUGCCCGCGGAGAACAUCAUUAAAGUCAUGUAUGAGCGGAGACCGUGGAAGUGGACCAUGGAUUGCUGGGAAGUCACUGGUACUAAGGUCAAUACAAAACCUAAGGUUGUGACUCCAUCGAAGAAGGCCAAAGAGAUGGUUGUGGUGUAGGAGGAGGAGGAGGAGGAGGAAGACAAUCCAAGACCUCGGAAGAAAGCUCGUAAAGAGGCUCCUAAAGAGGCUAGUGAAGAGGCUAGAGAAGAGGCUAGAGGGGUGACCAGAGAGGAGUUGGAAAUUAUGUUCAAGGGCGUAGCUGACUGCAUGAAAAAAGGGUUUAAUAAGUGCAUGAGGGAGUUUAGGAAGUUGUCCGAUAGAUUGGAAGCUGUGGAGAAGAAGGUUGGUGUCACCAAUCAGGCUACCCCUCCACCUCUAACCAAUCAGGCUACCCCUCAAGAUAAACAGCCUACCCCUCUUGCCAAAGAAACCGGGGGUAGAAACAAACAGGCUACCCCUCAUGCCAAUGAAACCGUGGUUAGUAACCAGCCUCCUCCUCAUCAAACCAAACAGCAGCCUCCUCCUCCUCAAAAGAAACAGCAGCAGCCUCCUCCUCCUCAAAAGAAACAGCCUCCUCCUCAAAAGAAACAGCCUCCUCAAAUCAAAGAGGUUAGUAUCAAAUCCAGGGUUAACUAGUUGUCCAGACGACUGUAAAAGUUGUCUGGACGACUAGUUGACCCUGGACGACUUAAACGUAAGUUGUCUGGACGACUAGUUGACCACGGAAGACUUAAUUUUAAGUCGUCCAGGGUCAACUAGUCGUCCAGACAACUUUUAUUUAAGUCGUCCAGGGUUAACUUGUGUGCAACUUUUAUUGCAGAGAUGGUUGCCGGAGGAUACAGCAACCGAGGCGAACUCGGUAAAUAAGAUCUUGCCGGAGGAUAAAGCAGAUGGUGUCACCUCCAAAGAGAUUGUUGCUGUCACUUCCACCGAUCACCAACCGAGCCUCGCUUCCACCGAUCAACAACCGAGCCUCGCUUCCACCGAGCCAAGCGAUCCAGUUUCAGAACCGAGCCUGGUUGUAUUGGACAAGCGUGCAAAGAGUAAACGAGCGAAGAAACCUGCUCCCACUGUGAGAUCUCCUUAUACGGCAGAGAAAAAAAAAGAUAAAGUGGCAGCCUAUAAUCCAUUUCCGCCAGUAAACAAAGAUAAGUUGAAGGAACUCGCUGAUUGGUUGAAAACUGAUCCGUAAGUGAUUGCUUUACCCAUAAUAGCUUGAUUUAGUCGUCCAAAACUGAUUGCUUUUUUGUUUGCAGUCAUUAUUUAACUAAGACCGAGGACAAACCACGUACAUCACCAACAAGGUGGUACCACUUCCUCCGGACAGCCAGAGGAUGGCUGGAAGACUGCGUAAGUCUUCUGCACACGAUUUAAGUCGUCUACAAAGUCGUCCAAGUAGACUACUUUCCAGACGACUUAAAGAUAAAUCGUCUGGAAAGUCGUCUACUUGGACGACCACGUAGACGACUUAAAUAUAAGUCGUCUUCGUCUGGUAACUUCUAACUUGUUAUAUUUAAUAUGCAGCAUAUAGAUGCUUGGAUUAAUGUGCUAAGGCAGAGGUAUCAGGAGAACCCACAAGCUUUCAGGAGCGAGCGAAUGUGCUUCCUGGAUCACAACUUUUCUCAGUCUUGGAGAGAGCAGUAUCAGCUCUUCAAAACAUCGGAACCUGAUCACAAAGGUUUAGGAAGAGUUCUACCUGGUGGGGCGUCGUAUUUUUAUGACGGAUCAAUACCUUCAUUUUGCCAAUCAAACAAGAAGUGGGGGGAGGACAUUGAUGAUAUCUAUGCGCCAGUGAACUUGGACGACAAGCAUUGGGUUGCUAUUUGGAUAUCGAUCCCUAAGAGGCACAUAGUCGUCUGGGACAGCAUACCUUCAUCUAGUGUACCAGACGCAUGGGAUGCGAUAAUGGAGCCUUUUCUCCAGAUGGUCCCUUAUCUGCUUGUUGAGUGCGCAGCCACCGACGAAAUGCGGGUCAAAUACGGGUUGGAGCCAUACACAUAUGAGAGACCUCUGAAAGGUGUACCCACGGCCAACAAUGGUGAUUGUGGCGUGUACACUGUAAAGUACAUUGAAUGUCAUGCGCUCGGGGGCUCCUUUGACCCUAAAGACUUUGCUAGGUGCAACGCGAAGAAAAUGAGGGAUAAUAUGGCGGUGGAUAUAUGGAAGGAGCUUGUUGAUCAGCAUCUGAAAGAAAAUGUGGAUGGUGAUAAGUUCGUGGGCAUGUAUGAUUAGAUUUGUAUUUGAACAUGAUUUUUUAACAUGAGUUUUGUAUUUGAACAUGAUUUUUUAACAUGAUUUUUGUAUUUGAACAUGAUUUUUUAACAUGAUUUUUGUAUUUGAACAUGAUUUUUUAACAUGAUUUUUGUAUUUGAACAUGAUAUAAGUUGUCUGGAAGAAAUAAGUCGUCUGGAAGGUUUUCCAACUGGACGACUUACAAAUAAGUCGUCUAGAAGGUUUGGACGACUUAUUAUAAGUCGUCUGGAAGGUUUUCCAACUGGACGACUUACAAAUAAGUCGUCUAGAAGGUUUGGACGACUUGAAGGGAUAGUAGAAGGUCGUCUAAAAAUAAAAUACACUUGAAGGGAUAGUAGAAGGUCGUCUAAAAAUAAAAUACACUGGACGACUUAGUAGAAGGUCGUCUAAAAAUAAAAUACACUUGAAGGGAUAGUAGAAGGUCGUCUAAAAAUAAAAUACACUGGACGACUUAGUAGAAGGUCGUCUAAAAAUAAAAUACACUGGACGACUAAAAAUUUAGUCGUCUGGACGGGUAAUCAAGACUGGACGACUUAAAUUUAGGUCGUCUGGACAACUAGUCAACUGGUUGUGUACAUUGUGGUUUCGUAUGGCCAGUUUCCUUGCAGUUUGAGCAUCUCCGUGCCCUGUGUUUCUUCCUGGGUUUGUGUCCUCUCAUCCUAGAUAGCUCCAACCAAGAUUGCCAUCUUGAUUUCUUCGGUCUCCCCCGACCACGCUUUAGUUCUGGAGGAAAGCAUUCUCGUUCCUCAAUAUGUUGUGACACGAUAGGAUAUAUAUUCUCUGAGUAUCCUGCAUACAGAUAAUUCUUUGAGUACAGUGGACAUACAAGUGUGGAGAUAUGCAAACCAGCAUGUAUUCCAGCAGCUAUAGCAUGAGAGCAAGGUAUUUUCUCCACUCCAUAGACACCACAAUCACACUUUGCAUGUUCCAAAUCAACCACACAGUCCAUUUUGCCACCUUUGACAAAGAAAUGCCAUCCAUCAAUUGGUUCAACCGUCAUCGUACCCGCUAUCUCUUCUCGAACAGCAAGCAAGUAUUCAACACCCCCGCUAUGUUCAGUUGUGAGACUCAAAGCAUCUUGUCUCCUUUUCCAAUACCAUUUUCCUAACUUCUGCCUUAUGAACUCCAGCAGGAACGUAAUCGGAAAUCCUCUUGCUCGCUUCAGUGCGGAAUUAAUAGAUUCAGCAAUGUUGCUUGUUUUUAUGUUGAACCUGUUCCCCUUACAAUAAACCCUUGACCAUAGCCUGACGUCGGCUUUCUCCAAAUACGUUGCAAGUUCCGGGUUUGCACUCCGUAUCUCAGCCAUGUACCGGUCAAAAUCGUAAACCGUGUGAGCAUAAGCAGCCCCUUUCACCAAGUACAUGAGAUGUUUCCCUUUAAACUUUUUGACAAUGUUAUCUUGAAGGUGAUAAUAACAUAUUCCUCGGGUUGCCCAAGGAAACACCUUAUCACACGCACUUUUAAUGGCCUUGUGCCGGUCGGAGACUAUCACCAGAGGCUUGUCAUGAGAUAUACAACUAGCCAAUUUUGUGAAAAACCAUUCCCAAGAAGGUAUAUCUUCCUCAUCCACGAUCCCAAAAGCCAAUGGGAAUAUCUGAAAAUUGCCAUCUUGUGCGGCUGCAACUAACAUAGUUCCUCCAUACUUUCCACUUAGGUGAGUUCCAUCCACCACAAUGACCCUUCUCUGAUACUUAAAACCUUUGAUAGAAGCUCCAAAAGAGAGAAAUAGAUACUUAAAUCUUUUCAUAGAAUCAAGUUCUAUCGCCGUGAUAGAAUCAGGAUUUGCAAUGGAGAUUUGCUCGAGAUAUGAUGCCAGACGCGAAUACCCUUCUUCUGCUGAUCCUCUCACCAAUCUUUGUGCAUAUAACAGUGCUCUGUAUGAAGUGGUGUAAUCAAGCGCCAUGCCAAACAUGUUCCUCAUUGCAUCAGUGAUAUGCUGCGGAGUUAUCCCAUCAAUGAUUCCAACACGAUCAAUGAAAAGACUACCUACAUACUUCGGAGUACAGUGUCUCCGCUGAGCGAUUCGGUCUCCCGCUGAGCAUAAAUGUUUUUCCACAUACUUUGUUACCCAAAACGUGUUUGUCCCAUGUUUGACACUCGCUCUGACCUUCCAUCCACAAUAGCUAACCGGACAUGUUGCCACAACGAGAGUUUUCGUUGAUUUGUAUAAUCUGAAAGAAAACUUACCCCUCACUGCUGCCAACCGCAGCUCUGAAAGCAGUGCACCCUUGCUAACAAAACUCUGGUUGACAUAGAUACUGGUACCAUUCGAUUUUCCUCCUUCAAUAGCAUUUGUCUUAGCAUAUGUCUUUUGGAUUUCUUCAAAACAAAUAUUAUCAUCAUCUUCCUCGUCCUCAUCUGGAACCUUUCCAUAAAGACUGUAAUCCCCACCAUUCUGAUCCGUUUCACCAACAAUAGAAUUAUCAGCAUCCUCCUCCCCAUUUUCCUCCUCCCCAUCUUGAUUUUCAUCUUCAACAAACUCAUUAUCACCAACAUCUUCAAAACAUUCAUCAGCUUCAUCAUCAUCACCAACAUCUUCUUCCCAUUCACCAGCUUCAUCAUCAUCACCAACAUCUUCUUCCCAUUCACCAGCUUCAUCAUUAUCACCAACAUCUUUUUCCCAUUCACCAGCUUCAUCAAUAUCCCUUUUCUCUGAAACCGUUUCGACCUUGCUGCGGCUUGAUACACAAAGACAUACUCUAUGGGUUUUGAGUAUCUCCAGCAAGUUUCGAACUUGUCUAUCACUUGUAACAUGAAUGGGAAGACUGCCUGGAGCCAUCAUCAUUUCUGCUGGUAAUGAGUAGCUAAUCUCCACACUCACUGUUCUCAUGUCCAGGUUAUAAUCUUCUUGAGCCAUUGCAACAAGUUCAGCAUGUGUUGAAUCUUCAUUCAAUAAAAACAAUCUUGCUCCUUUGAGAUCAUCAACCACAAAAUCCCAACGGAAAUCUCUCAACAACCAUUCUCCAUACACUGCAUGUAACUGAAAAAUCAUCUGCAAAUAUUCAAAAUAAAACACAUUAGUAAACAUAGAGAAAAUGAAGAAGUUCAAUAAACAUUGCCGCAGACGACUUAGCAUUAAGUCGUCCAGAAGACUUAAAGGUAAGUCGUCUAAAGAGGUCACUUUUGCAAUUGAAAAUUAAAAGGGACGACUUAAUUCUAAGUCGUCCGGCUUUGUUUGUUAAAAAAAAAACUUCAGACGACUUAUAUAUAAGUCGUCUACGAGAAACGGGCUAGUUUUGCAUUUGACCGAAUCGUGUCAGAUCUUUGACUAUUUCUGGACGACUUAUAAUUCAGUCGUCUCUGGGAAAGUUAAAAUUUCAAUAUUUUAUGAAAACUUGACGACUUACGUGUAAGUCGUCCUAGGUUAGUUUUGUAAUUGAAAAAUAAAACUUGAAAUUUAACUUUCUCCAGACGACUUAGAUGAAAGUCGUCCAGCUAAACGACUUAAUUUAAGGUCGUCCGGGAUAAGCAAGGUUUGACCAGAAAAUUGGGAAAAAUUCUGGACGACUUCGCUUUCCCCGGACGACUUUAAAUUAAGUCUUCUGGAGGGACGACUUUAUAUUAAGUCGUCUGGUUAAAGUUAAAUUAUGAAGUUUUAUUUUUCAAUUACAAAACUAACCUAGGACGACUUACACGUAAGUCGUCAAGUUUUCAUAAAAUAUUGAAAUUUUAACUUUCCCAGAGACGACUGAAUUAUAAGUCGUCCAGAAAUAGUCAAAGAUCUGACACGAUUCGGUCAAAUGCAAAACUAGCCCGUUUCUCGUAGACGACGUAUAUAUAAGUCGUCUGGAGUGUUUUUUUUUAACAAACAAAGCUGGACGACUUAAUUUAAGUCGUCCGUUUGACCAGAAGACUCAUCAGUAAGUCUUCUACAUACAGAUGACUUACUAGUAAGUCUUCUACGCGAACAGAUCUUGAAAAAAAAUUCAAAUUCGUACCUUAAACUAGGUGAGAUGACUUUGUUUGCACACAAGGUCUUCUCCAACCACCCAGAACCUCAAACGAAAGCAACCGUAAGUCAAAACGAAAGAAAUAUGGCUCUGUCAACCAUAGCCCAUAUUUUGAAUCAAAAGCUUGAGUUUUUUGGAUGAAUAUAGAGAGAAAGUGAAAGAAAUGUUGUUUUUAGUUCAUAACAAUUGAAACAGAGAGAGUGUAAAGAGAUUUACGUGCAUUAAAGGGCAAUAAAAGCUCCAAACAGUUCGUACAAGGUUGUUGCCACUAUUCAUUGCAGUGGCAAUAUUGUAAAUACUUGAAGAAGAUGAGGUUGAGACAGUAAAGAAGCCAUUUUUGAAAAAAAAAAAAAAAAAUGUUAAUGGCAUUUUCGUAGAUAAAAUGCAGGUGUGGGGUUAAAAUCUCAAAAAAAAAAGGAGUCAAAAGAAAAGGUUAGUUUUCUGUUUGACUCCAAGUUUUGAGUCACUUUUGCAAAAAGCCCUAAAAAUAAUUUAUAAAUUUUGUAAAAACUAUUUUGUUAGAGAAAAAAUUGAAAUCAUGUAACUAUAAACAUUUGUAAGUGAUAUAAACUAAAAUAUAAUAAAAUUGAAUUGUUUUUAAUAUAGAUGAGUGAAAAUAGUGAGUCAUGAUAUUCUUUGGUUUAAGGUUUGACAACAUAUGUUGUAGUAUUGUAUGUAUUCUUAGAGUUAGAUUUUGGAAACUUAAUAUUUUUUGGAAAAAUUAAAUUUUGACAUAUACAUAUUUAGUUUUUAUAUAUUAAAUAUUUUUUAAAUUUAAUGAAAUGUUUGUUUCUAUUUAAUUAGUUAUUUGAGUUUAAGAUUUAUAUUUAGUGUCUAGACGACUUCCACAAAGUCUUCUCUGAAAAUCUUAUAACUCCCGCUAAAAAUAUUUUACUUUCCCGCUAAAAAUAUUUUAGUUUCUAGAAGACUUAAUUGAAAUUCUUCUAGGAAGUUUUCUAUUAGAAGACUUAAAUCGAAAAAAAUUAACCUUAUUAGAAUUUUUGUCUCCCUUUAUAAAGAAAAUUUACACAUUCUCUAUUUUCCUCUCAAAAGACUGCAACAAAAAUGUUAUGUUUCUUAUUCUAAAACUUUCAAACCUCUCUCUAAUCUCUUUGAACUUAAAAAUACCAAACUUUAUAUCAAUUUAUAGUUAUUUCAUGUUUCUUAUUGAUUUAUUUUGUUUUUGCAGAUUUUUCAUUUCAUGGUUCUUAUCUUCCACUCUUUUAAGGGUAGAUCUAUAAAUCUUAUUUUUCUUAUUUGGUAACCUAUUGUUGCUUAAAGAUUUUACCUUUUGAAAACUCUUUUGGUUAUUUUAAAUUCGUACUUUAUUUUUGAAGUUUUUCUAUGUUUUGAACUUUUGGAUAUGCAGGUUUUUUCAGAGCUGAGACAGACAUGGAAGACUUCCAUGGAAGACUUCCAGGGAAGACUUCUCGGAAGUCUUCUACCAUUUAAUGCACUAGAAGAUUUCCUGGAAGUCUUCUGGCGGAAUCUUCUCCCAUGUCUCCUCGUUCAUUUCAGAUAUGAGUGUUUUGGUAAGUAUAUAUGUCUAGAUUUUUCUUCAUUUGGUAACCUCUGGUUGCUUAAACCUUUUAUAUUUUUUACAAUUUAUCAUUUUUUUUGUAAACACCAAACUUUAUAUCAAUUUAUCAUUUUUUGUCUCAUGUCAUUCUCACUAAUUCAUCUUGUUUUGUAGAUUUUUCAUUACAUGGUUCUCAUCUUCCACUCCGUUAAAGGUAAAUCUAUAAAUCAUAUUUUCUUAUUUGGUAAUCUCUUGUUGAUUAAAGCUCUUUCUUUUUGAAAAUUCUUUUGGUUGUUUCAAGCUUUUACCUUAUUUUUGAAGUUUUUAUAUGUUUUGAAGACAUUUGAAUGGUUUUGGAUAUGCAUGUUUUUUAGAUCUAAGACAUAUUUCCUUAAAAAAUCUUCCAAGUCUUCUCGGAAAUCUUCUAACAUUUAAUGUACUAGACGACUUCCUGCAAGUCUUCUGGAAGUCUUCUGACAAAGUUUUCUCCCAUAUCAAGUGGAGUCUAAGCUUGUCUUUGUGGAGGAAUGGGAUAUAAUAGUUUUAUUUAUGGUAUGUUUUGUAAUUUGUAUGUAUACUCUUUUAGUUGUGAAUUCUUUUGUAAAUUUGAAAAAAAUAUUAACAAUUUUUUUGGUAAAUAUGUUCAUGUCUACAAUAUUAUCUUGCCAAAAAUACUUGCAUUAUUAAAGUUAUUUAUACAACUUCAAUAGCAAAACACAAUAAUACAAAAAAAUUAGUCAAAUUUAUUACAACUAAUGGAGAAAACUUCUCAAGAAAACUUAGUCAAAUUCACAAAAGAUCAAACAUUACAUUAGUUCAAACAUAUAACAGUUUCACUAGAAGUCUUGUGGGAAGUCUUCGGGAAGAUUUCUUCUCAGAAAAAAUUUCGGAAGACUUAAAUUUCAAGCAGAAAAUUUAAAUAUAAGCGGGAAAUUUAAGCGGAAAAUUAAAAUUUAAGCGGGAAACUCAAAUUUUAAGUGAAAAUUAAAAUUUCAAAUUUCAUGAAAGUUAAAAAAUAUAUCUUAUGAUCUAAGAAGACACAUCAAACCAUAUGACUUGAUAUUCUUAAAGUUAUUUAACACUUUUGAAAAUUAAAAAAUAUAUAUAUCUUAAAGUUGAAAAUACAAGUUUUACAACAACUAAUGUAGAAAACUUAUGGGAAAGUCUUCUCUCAUUAGGUAGAAACAUUAAGAAGCAUGACUGUUGUUAACUUCAUAAUUAUCACCAAUUAAGUUAUGAAUUUCAUUCAUGAGCCCAAUACAUUAAUUAACAAGAAAAUGUUAAAAAGUCUUUAUAGUUUUAGAGAAAAUAAAAUUUUAUUAAACGUUGACGUAGACGACUUCCACGGAAGUCGUCCGGAAGACUUACACGGAAAUCUUCUGGUCAAUGCGUAGGUUAGUUUUGCAAUUGACUUUAUGUGUCAGAAAUUUGACUUUUCCUAGACGACUUACGGAUAAACAUGUUAGUUUUGCAUUUGACCGUACUGUGUCAGAAAUUUGAUUUUUCCUAAACGGCUUACACGAAAGUCGUCCAAAAGAAAAGUAAAAUUUAAAUAUUUAUAUUUUUCUAGACGACUUCCAUGUAAACCGUUUCAGGUUACUUUUGCAAUUGAAAAAUAAAACUUAAAUAUUUUAUUUUAUCCGGACGACUUCCAUCACAGAAGUCUUCUGACAAACGACUCACACAUAAGUCUUCUGUAAUAACCAAGGUUUGACUAAAAUCUCGGAAUAAAAUCCUGGAAGACUUCCAUGUAAGUCUUCCGACAGACGACUUACAUAGAAGUCUUCUGUAAUAACCAAGGUUUGACUAGAAUAUCGAAAUAAAAUCCUGUAAGACUUUCGUGUAAGUCGUCUACCGGAAGACUUAUAUGGAAAUCAUCUGGAUAAAAUUAAAUAUUUAAGUUUUAAUUUUCAAUUGAAAAAGUAACCUGAAACGACUUAUUUGGAAGGUGUCUAGUAAAAGUUAAAUAUUUAAUUUUUAUUUUUCUGUUGGACGACUUCCGUGUAAGUUGUCUAGGAAAAGUCAAAUUUCUGACACAAUCCGGUCAAAUCCAAAACUGACAUGUUUAUCCUAGACGAUUUACCGGGAAGUCUUCUUUAAUUUUUUUGAAAACAAAGAAAACCGGAAGACUUCCAGAUAAGUCGUCUAGAAAAGAUACACAUAAAGUCAAUUGUGAAACUAACAUAUGCAUUGACCAGAGCAAAACUAACACAUGCAUUGACCAGAAGACUUCCGUGUAAGUCUUCUCGUCGGAGAAGACUUACACGUAAGUCUUCUGACAGACAGAUCUGGAAAAAAAAUUGAUUUCAUAACUUUAACCAGUGAGAUAACUUGUUUAGCUUCUCCAACCACACAAUACUUCACCACCAAAGCAACCUACUUGACCACGAAUCAUGAGCUUGAAUGGUUCGAAGAACCUUAAUAAUUUUAGAAUCAAAAUCUUGGGUUUUAUUAGAUGAAUAUAGAGAGAAAGUGAAACAGAUGUUUUUUUUAGUUCAUAAGAAAUAAGAUAAAGGAGUAAUCGAUUUUUAGGUGCAUUAAAAGCUUCAAAUUGGUUGUUCAUGGUGGUUGGUGUAUUGAUGGCAAUGACAAUAUUGUAAAUACUUGAAGAAGAUGGAGAUGAGAGAGUAAAACACUUAUUUUCGAAAAGAAAAAAAUAAUAAUAGCAUUUUCGUAAAUAAUCCGAACUUUUGGAGUGAAUAAGGCAAAUGAAAGUUCCAAAAAAACGUGGAUUAGUUUUGUGUUUGACUUCGAGUUUUGAGCCAUAUUUGCAAAAAUUAAAAUGAAAAAUUUGGAGUAACUAUUUAUUAAUAUAUAGAAAUAUAAAAGGUAUAGUAAAAAGUUAAAAUGUUAAAAUUAAAUUGAUAUCUAUAUUAACUCACUAAAAGUUUACAUCAAUAGAUUUUUACAGAAAAAGUUCACAAGUUUAUUUUUAGAAUAUAGUCUACAUGUUAUUGAGAAUGUUCAAGUAAACUUGUAAAAUAUAAAAACAAAUAUGGAAAAUUAAUGUCAUAAUUUAUUUAUUUUUAAAAUAUCAAUAUUUUUCAUAGAAGCAAAAUAUUUUCUUAAAUGUGAAAUAUUCAGUCAACAUAAAAAUAUUUAAUGUAUUAAAAAUACAAAAAAAAAUUAUUAAUAUAUAUAAAUUUAAAAGGUAUAGUAAAAACUAAAAACAAAUGUUAAAUUAAUUUGCUAUCAAUAUUAAUUUACAGGAAAAUUAGCAUCGAUAUAUUUUAACAGAAAAAAAGUUCACAAGUUUAUUUUACGAUAUAGACUAUAUGUUAUUGAGAAUGUUCACAUAGACUUUAAAAAUAUCAACAAAAUAUGAAAAUAACCAUUAUAAUUUAUUUCUUUUUAAAAUAUCGAGGGUUUUCAAAAAUAAAAAAAAUAUUACUAUGAAAUAAAAUGAACAUAAACAUCAAAUAUUGUAAACAAACAAAGAGAAAGUUAUCAAAAAUGAAUUAACUUGAUGUAGAUUUUUAUUCUGUAGAAGAGUAACAUUAAAAGAUAUUAAUAAAAACAUAAUAUAUCAUAUAUACCAAAAUAAAAUAGAUAACUAAUCUAUCAAAAUUAACCUAAUAAAAAAAUUAAAAGAAAAUUAAGAUGAAUUUUUGUAUGGGAACUUUUCUUAUUUCAAAAUUUUUGGUAUCAAUUUAAGUAAUAAUCUAAAUUUGGCAUCGUACUGAGUUGUUAAAUGCCAAUGAGUCUGAGAUGGUUGCAGUUAAAGAGAGGUUGCGGGAAAAUGUGGAAGAUGUCAGUUUCUGGAGAAGAAGCUCGGGUUUUAACGAUAAGUUUUCUACCCAGGAGACUGGUUUUUAACUCGUACCUCUGAUGCUCAUAUUGAUUGGGUACAAGCUGUUUGGUUCUUGCAGAUUACACCCAAGUAUGCUUUUAUUACAUGGUUAGCCAUGUUGGAUAGGCUAAGUACUAUGGACAGGGUUGCGAGAUGGAAUAGUGGUGUUGAUGUUACUUGUGCUCUUUGUAAGAAUGCUGCAGAGUCUCGUAGUCAUCUGUUCUUCGAGUGCUCUUACUCUUCUCAGAUAUGGGAGCAUCUUAUGCUUGGCAUCCUUAGGGGUUCGUAUACAAUUGACUGGAAUGCAAUUGUGGCUUUUCUUAAACAGUCUGAUAGAGAUAAGAAGAGAUCCUUUUGUUUGAGAUAUGGCUUUUAAACCAUCAUCUAUGUGAUAUGGCGUGAAAGGAAUAAGAUUAAGCACGGAGAAAGUCCAUUGCCUAUGAAUGCAGUGAAGAAGCUUAUUGAUAAGAGAGUUAGGAACAAGUUAAGCCUACUGAGAUCAAGAGGAGGUAAGGGUAUGGAAUCUGCCCUUCAAUAUUGGUUUAGCACAAGGACAUGAGGUUUGGAGGUUUGGGAAUACUUUGGAGGUUUGGGAGGGUUUGAAGUUAUUGAGUUUAAAGAUAGGAUUUCCUUUGUUAAGGUCUACACUCUGAUGUAAAAAAACUUUUUUGAUGAAUAAAAUUUAACAUUCAUUCAAAAAAAAAAAAUCUAAAUCUAUAUAUAUAAAAAAAUAUUUUCCUCCCUCCUAUUGCGCCACGUCAUAAAGUCAUUGAUUGUGAGUGCGACACCUGUCUUCUUUGCCUAAAACUCAUCGUUUCAUUAACUUAUGAUGUGGGCUGCUGCGUUUCAUAAUUGUUUACGAUUUAGUGGGCUUUUUGUUCACACCGUGAUAUAGCCCAAAUACAGAGAGAUAGCCACUAUAAUGAAAACAUAUGUAAAGACUGAAACUUUUGAAACGAGAAGGAAAAGAAGGAGUGUACCGUGAGUUUCUGGAUGCUACUGACUUCGCCUUGGUUGGAGGCGAUAUCAACGGUGACGGUUCAUUUCGCUGCCACCUCUGGUAACUCAAUAACAUUCAAGAUUUUAAAAUUAUUGGCGAUGGGUUUUGCAGAGUAUGAAGAGGCAGAGGGAAGAGGAUGAUGAGCAACAACAGUGAAGAGGUUAAAAAAGAAAAUUGAACCAAUUAAUAAAAAUAUUCCACAGUUUAAGCGGCGAGUAAAUCAGAUCGGUUUCUCAAUUCCGCUAUGACUCGAUCAAGAGAGAAAUAUAGUUUUUUCCAAAGAAACAUAGAUAUUAUCAAAGCAAAGAUUGCUCCGAACGAAUCAUAAGAAGAUAAGGAAGCAAUCAAAGGUUUUUAUUUCAUUUUUUAAUUAGUUAUUUGGAGUUAACAUGAAUGGAAGUGCCAUACACGCGCAGAGACAUGCGUGUUGGUGGGAUAUGAGAUACAUAUUUUAAACUUAAAAGGGAAAAAGACAGGAAGCAAUGCGUUCUAUGCACAUUGGGUCUUUUCUUUUGAGCCUUUUGUUUCAAAUAAAAACGACAGGACAUAACCGGAUUUACUUCGGUUUAAUUUAGAUUCGAUUCAACUUAAAUGCAUGCAUGAUUUUAAGCUACACAAGUUUUAUUCAAUAAAUAAACCAACAGAAAAUUUUAUUGUAAGAAAUUGGGUUAAUUGGAAUUCAUAAGGCAGAAAACAAUAAAUAAUUAAAAAUAAUUUUAUAAUUAUCUAGCUACUUAUAUUUAUAUAAUAUUUAUAUAUCAAAAUAGCAUAAAUAUACGAUUAUAAUUAAUAUUUAAAUAAAAAAUCCGGGCGUAAUUAACCCGGGCCGACCCUAGUUUAUAAUAUAUUUCAAAGUAUCUAAAAUAAACUAAAACGACUGAUGAUUUUAGUUCUUUUCUUUCUACCGAUCCACUUCAUUCUUUAGCUUUCAAUGAGUUUACAAAACUUUUGUUGAAAAACCACAGAUAAGAACAAUAUUGAGACACAUAUUGUUAAAAAGAUAGUUUAUCAAUGAGUUUAAGCUGUUUUUUAUCAAUCAAAAGGAAUUUAUAAAGUUGUUUUUAAUAGUCAACACUAUUAUAUUAUGUUUUGAGACAAUCAAAACCUUCAAACAAAUCAAAUAGGGUAUUAUGAAGUAAACUUAAAGAUGGGUGUACUCUAUACUUUAUUUUUUUAAAUUACAUCAUUAACAAUACAGCAAAUUACAUGUUAACUUCUUAUAAACAUAUAAUCCGAGUAACCAAUAAAAAGUAUAAAAUGAAUGCUUAUGUCAAUUUUAGUGAAGAAACCCGUACAAUAUAUAAAAUUAAAGAUGGUCUCAGACGAGUUUGUCAAACAAAUAUAUUUAGAGGAUAAUAUUUAUAAGAUAGGUGAAAAAUAAUCAAAAUAAACUUUCUAAAUAAGUUUCUAAAAUUACAGAAAGUAAAUAUAGACUCCACAAAAACAUAAGAGAGUGAUAUAAAAAUAGUCAAUAUACUAACAACAAAGUAAAAACAGUGAAAUUUUACAAAAUUCUAUAAAAAGUUCAAAAUUAAAAUAAUUAUGCCAUGUAAGAAAGGGCCCCUGUAAGAAAUCUACUAAAACUUUACUCUAAAUUACCAGAUGAAAGCAAUUGUCAGGAUUCAAAAAGUCUUAAGAAGCUUCAUGUAUUAUAAAAAUAUUUACAAUAGUAUUCUAGUUAAAUAAAGCUAUGUAUUAAAACAUUUAUCUUAAAUAUUUAUAAUCUUUAUCAUAAAUCUUUACAAUAUCUGUAAAUCUUAAUUUAAAAUUAAUUAAACAAUAAAAUUUCAACUAAAAUAUGUGCAAAAAAAUAUAAAAGAUCACACAUUUAUUGUAUAACUCUCAUAAGUAAAAAAGUAAAAUAAAUAAUAUGCAUAUAAAUUAAUCGUUUAUAAAAUAAGUAAAAAUUAUAAAAAAAAAUAUUUGCAAUAGUAUAGUAGCGGUUUAUAUGCAUUGAGUAAUUUAUACAGUAUUUAAAAAAUGGCAAUUCUCUCAAAUAGACUUUUUUAAGUUUUUAUCACAAAAAUAGCCCUCAAAAAAUAAAAUGACCAAAAUAACCUUUUUAUUUUGAAAAUUUUAAUAUUUUUUUUAUUUUUAAAAAUUUGAAUCUAUCCCCAAAGCCCAACCCCUUAACUCUAAACCCUAAGUCUUAGAUUAGUUAACUCUAAGGGUAUAAAUGCAUAUUUACCUUUCAAUAAAAUUUCUUUUGGUCAUUUUCUUUCUUGGAAGUCUAUUUUUGUGAAAAUAAACUAAAAAGGGCUAUCUAAGAGAAUUUCUCUUUAAAAAAUAAAAUUUUAUAUAAUAAAUAUAAAAAUGAUUAUAAAUAAAAUUUUAGUUUUAAAAAUACAGACAAAUAUAUACUAAAUAGUAAUUAUUUUCAAGAGUAUAAUUUUAUAAACAAAAUAAACGUAACUAGUAAAUUAUUAUAUUAUAUUUUAAAUAAAUUUUCCAAGAAAUAAAAUUUAUAUAAAUAAAAAUUUAUAAAUCAGUUCUAGUUGAAAACUUUUUUUAAAAAAAUUUAAACAAAAUUAUUAAUACAGAUUCGUGCGUAGCGAACAUAAAAUAUAGUUCACAUAAAAAGAUUAUGUGAUAGGAAAUUAUCGCUCAAGAUUGGUCCCAAGCAUAGGCUAUUGAAACACUGGCUUAUAAUUUCCAAAAUAUUAGGAAAAAUUUACAUAUAUAUAGAUCUUUAAAUUUGCAAAAAAAAAGAUUAUGUAAUUUUUUUUUAAAUUAACUACAACCUCUAAAAUUUCAGGUAUGCACUACUAUGAUAACAUAAAAGAAAGUUAGAAACAACAAUGAAAUACGUCAUUUCUUGCGGCCCUUUUACAAACAAAACAAAGCCAUCCCGUAAGGCACGCAUGAGCCACUUGCGGCCCUUUUUACACACAAACAAAACCAUCCCACAAGGCACGCAUGAGUCAUUAGCAAUGAACAAUAGUGCCAUCGUAAAAAAAAACAGUAGCAAAAUCGAUAAAAUAGGAAAGUUCAAAAUAUAGUUGUACUUGUGAUUUGCACCAGAAGUUUCAAUGGUUUUUCUCAUAGUGCCUUAUGUAAAGAACAGUUUUUAUAAGUAAUACCUAGUACGUACUGUAUAUAUAUGUAUUAAGCACAGCAAAGUUAUCACCGGUUCUAAACUUUUUCUUCGGUUCUAAUAUUCUCCCUCUGAACGAAACUAAUAUCCAAACAUGCAAAGAAUCGGGAGGAUUGGGAAGGUCAAAGAAAAUAACACACGACCGGUAAAUGUGGAAGAAACACGAGAAUAGUGGUGGUUUUGGAGACGGAAGAAAGAGAAACGGUAAACCAAGUCAUCUUGGUCUAGUGGUAAAAGGAUUCCAGUUGGAGUUUUCGUUCUGGUUUCGAGUAGCAUUAGCCACCUGUAGACACUCUAAGUGGCGAGAAAACUCGGAUUUCUAUGGACCUCGUAGGAUUAUUCUUUGGGCUUAAAAAGCCUUUGAAAUCCCCACGAUUAUCAGAAGAAAAAAAAAUAGUACAAGCAAAACCAUAAAAAAAGGAAGAAGAGAGAGAAAGAGGAGAGUUCUCGUACGGUACGGUAGACGAAAGGCCGUACUGACGAUGGAGGUUAAAUCUCAUCCUAAACGGGUUGAGAGAGUUUCACCUUUUGUUUUUACCGCAAACUCAGUGUACUCCUCAGUAUAGUUAAACAGUGAUAAUAUCUAGAUAAUAAAAGUAUAGUGAUCAGUUUAAUCGGAUGUAUUAUGUUGAAGCAAGUACAUCGCAUCAAUUGGGUCAUAUCAAGUGUGUCACAUAAAGUUUAUGGAUCUUACAUCUGAUUGUUGAGCUUAAGGCCGUGUAUCUGAUGAGCCCUAGAGUUUUAGGAUGCGGAAUAACUUUUAUAUAUAUCAUGUAUUCUUGUAAUCCUAAAAUAAAUUGAAUAUUGCCUCCAAAUAACAAAAAAAAAUUAUUUCUAGGCAUAGCCAAAUUGAUGAACCACAUUACAUAUAUUGUUGUAUCUUUGUUCAUAUAUAUUGUUGUGUCUUUGUUACAUCAUUUUAUCAUUUGUUUUAAUGCAACAUCACGACCAGUCUUAUGUUUUAAGAUUUGAGUUACAGUUAUAAAUAAAGUUUCUAUCAAAAAUACAAGUGAAAAUAAUAAAAUCCUAAACACUCCACGUACAGAUUUAUGUUAUAUGUUAUACUUUUUGUUUGUAUAUAAACUAUUAUUUAUAUUUCCAAAACCACCAUAGCAAUAUCUUAUUCUUAUUUCUACAAAUAAACAAUAUUAUCAACUUCAUCUAAUUUUGUGUUAGUCAAAUAUUUUUAUUUCCUUUCUUGUUCCUAUUUUUGAAUUAUUAGUUUUAAAAUUAUUAUUUUACAUAAUCUUAUUAGUUGUAAAUUCUUUUGGAUUGGAAAUAUAUAAAUUAUUUUGUUAUUGAUAUCGGAUAAAUAAUAUCAUCAGUAAGUAUAGUUCUUAGAAGAAUAUAUAUUGCAACUUAUUUUUGUUAAAAAUUAUUUUUAUACAUAUUAAAAAUAAGUUUUUAUUAUUUAUUUAUUUUUAAAUAGUUUAAUAGUUUUUGUUAUUAAUAAUAAUUCAUUAUUAUAUAUUUAUAUUUAUAUUUAUUUUAUUAAAAACUACUCUGGAACUUAUACAUCAAAAAUGUUACCAGUCAUCAGUUUUACUAAAAUAGUAACUCUUGUUUUUACUAAAAAUUUACCAUAUAAAAUUACAGUUUUUAUCACAUAAUUUUUACUGCAAGUUAUAUCGAAUUGUAAUACAUAUUGCAACUCGACUUCAAUAUUAUAUAUCAACAAACGGAGCCUUUGUUUCCAUAUAUCUGUAACAACAUACUAUCUCAUGUUGAGCAUAGGUAGACUUAUGUGAACAAAAGUCUUUAAUGUUUGUCUCAGGUGAAGAGAAGUCUCAAAACCAUAGUAUUUACGGGAAAAAAUCAAAUGUGUGUGGGAAAACCAAUGUAACUUGCAAACAAAAUAUACGUUAAUAGAAAUUUGGACUUUACAUAAGUACAGCAAAUAGUCUUUAGUUAUGAAUUAAAAGGCUAUAUUCACUAUUUCACUUAGUUAAUGGGUUUCGAACAUCAUUAUGGUUUUCUUAACACCACAUGGCAUGAAGAUUCUAUGAGAAUCUAAGAAUGAAAUGAUUAAGAUAGAACUUGAGUAGAUUAUGAGAGAUUAUGAAGAGUUUAGUGUAGAAUCAUGAUUGAGAGAGUAUGAUAAGAUAAAGAGAAACUCAGAACUGUAUAUUUAUUAUUAAUGACAAGAGUUGCAAUAUAUAGUGAGAGAUCAGUAGGGUUUUCGAAAUCAUAAAGGAUAGCUAAGCAUGUGAAGUCAACAAGGUUAGGAUAAGCUCUCUUUAACUCGGCCAAUCAGCGUUCCCACAUGCUUGGAGCAUCUAGGAUCUUGGACAAAGAUGCUCUUGCCUUUCCAGCUGUGCCAGCCUGUAAAGCCGCGCCUCUCUUAUCCUCCAACGGUCUGAUUCAUCAGCCAAAGCCCCUUCUCUUCCCAUAAGUUACUCGGGUAACUCCUUGUAACCGCGGUCAUGGUUUCACUGGUCUGAAUGUGUACGGACCGUACGGCCUUGUACGGCCUUGUACGGUCAGGCCACUGUGAACCUCUCCCAUCACACCAAUGCUUAACACACUCUCUUCAGUCUUAACCCCUUUGUACUUCACACUUGUAUACUCAACUCUUCUCAACACUCCCCCUCAAGCUUAGCUUUGUGAUACCUACAAGGGUAUUGAAGGAUCAAGCACCAUUUGAGGUACUGAACCAGCGCAAGCCAUCUUUGACAUAUAUGAGAGUGUUUGGAUGCUUGUGUUAUGUGUUGGUACCAGGAGAGUUGAGGAACAAGCUAGAAGCAAGAAGCAGAAAGGCAAUGUUCAUUGGCUACUCAACAACUCAAAAAGGAUAUAAGUGUUAUGAUCCAGAAGCUAGAAGGGUACUUGUAUCUAGAGAUGUGAAGUUCAUUGAAGNNNNNNNNNNNNNNNNNNNNNNNNNNNNNNNNNNNNNNNNNNNNNNNNNNNNNNNNNNNNNNNNNNNNNNNNNNNNNNNNNNNNNNNNNNNNNNNNNNNNNNNNNNNNNNNNNNNNNNNNNNNNNNNNNNNNNNNNNNNNNNNNNNNNNNNNNNNNNNNNNNNNNNNNNNNNNNNNNNNNNNNNNNNNNNNNNNNNNNNNNNNNNNNNNNNNNNNNNNNNNNNNNNNNNNNNNNNNNNNNNNNNNNNNNNNNNNNNNNNNNNNNNNNNNNNNNNNNNNNNNNNNNNNNNNNNNNNNNNNNNNNNNNNNNNNNNNNNNNNNNNNNNNNNNNNNNNNNNNNNNNNNNNNNNNNNNNNNNNNNNNNNNNNNNNNNNNNNNNNAACAAAGUAUGGUCUAGUUCAGACUUCCUGAAGCCUUUUCCAUUCAGUGUAGUACUCAGCUUGUGAUACCAGGCUCUAGGUGAUUGCUUCAAUCCAUAGAUAGCCUUCUUCAACCUUAGGACAUUCCCUGGCUUCACAAGACUCUCAAGACCCGGAAGAGGCUGCAUAUACACUUCAUCUUCAAGUUCCCCUUGUAGAAAUGCAUUCUUCACAUCCAUUUGCCACAAUCCCCAUUCAAGGUUGGUAGCAAUUGAUAAGAUGAUUCGGAUGGUGUGAAGCUUAGCCACUGGAGCAAAUGUGUCUAUGUAGUCCUCUCCAUAUGUCUGUGUAAACCCUCUAGCCACAAGCCUGGUCUUCUUCCUAUCAACUGUCCCAUCUGGUCUAUACUUGAUUGUAAAUAUCCAUUUACAUGACACUGCUCUCUUCCCUUUAGGCAGCUCACUCUCAUACCAAGUCCCAUUCUUGAUCAUAGCAUCAGACUCAUCCGCAACUGAGUUCCUCCAGUCUUCAUCCUUUAUAGCCUCCCCAUACGUUCUUGGUAUGUAGCUCUCAUCCAGACUUGUUAUGAAUGCACAAUGAUCCCUUGGAAACUCGGCAAAAGAGCACACUGCCUGACUUGGAUGAGCUACUGCUUGUGCAUUGUAGUAGACCCUGGUGUUUGCCCAGUUAGAUGGAUCUUUCCUUACUCUUGUACUCCUCCUCAGAGGCGCAGGCACACUCUCCACAACUGGAGCACUAGUCAUGUUCUCCAUUUCUUCUUCCUCUUCUUCAGGUACAAGUGGUGUACCUCCACUUUGAUCCCUUACUUCACUUGACUCUUCAUCAUUGAUCCCACUUUGAUCAUGACUAGCUGAGUCUCUUCCUUCUUCAUGUACCGCCUCAGACUUGUCUUCCCCCUCAUGAUCAAUGUGGGAUGUUUCUUCAGCUUCAUUCCUAGUAGGCGUCUCUUGCGCCUUUGGAUCCUGGGUUAGAUUAAUCCCAAGACCCUCUAAGAUCAUCCUAAGGCUUGUAGCCUUAUCAGAUGUUUGAGCUAGAUCCUUCAGAUCUUCCCAGCUCCUUUCUUCAUAGUAUCCUCUUGUUUCAAUGAACUUGACAUCUCUUGAUACCAGAACUCUUCUUGAUUCUGGAUCAAAGCAUUUAUACCCCUUUUGAGUAGUUGAGUAUCCCACAAACAUUGCUUUAGUACUCCUCGGUUCCAACUUGUUUCUCAUCUCCCCGGGGACAAGUACAUAACACAAACACCCAAACACUUUAAGAUGACUUAGAGAUGGCUUGGUCUUGUUCAAUACUUCAAACGGUGACUGAUCUUCCAAGAUUCUUGUAGGCACCCGGUUGAUCAAAUAGCACGCAGCUUGUACAGCAUCACUCCAAAAUCUCUUAGGUGCAUUGGUUUGGAACAUCAUGGAUCUAGCUACUUCCAUUAGGUGUCUAUUCUUUCUCUCCGCAACCCCAUUCUGUUGUGGAGUAUAAGGACAGCUUGUUUGAUGUAGAAUCCCAUGUAGAGCCAGAUGUUGCUUGAAGGCAUGACUUGUGUAUUCUCCACCAUUAUCUGAUCUGAAAAUCUUAAGCUUAGCAUUGUACUGGUUAGUUACAUAAGUCUGAAAAUUCUUAAAUGCUUCAAGAACUCUAUCCUUAGUCUUUAUAAGUGUUAUCCAGGUGUAUUUAGAUUUUUCAUCAAUGAAUGUGACAAAGUACUUAUAGUUUUCUCUAGAUAAGCAAGGAGCAGUCCAUACAUCAGAAUGUACAAGGUCAAAACACUUCUCAUAGAUAGUACUUGAUUUCUUAAAGACAGUCUUACAAUGUUUUCCCAAAAUACAUGCCUCACAAUCAUUAUUUUUAAACAUGACACCUGGUAACAUUAAGCUUAAGGCUCUAACAUGUGGAUGACCUAAUCUAGCAUGCCAUAAUGCAUCAUUAUUGAUACUUGAACUAGAACUAAACGAGCAAAUUGAACUGGAAAUAGGAGCUAAGUCUUCUAGCAUAUAGAGUUCUCCCUUUGUCACUCCUUUGCCAAUCAUCUUACUUGUCUCAAUAUCCUGAAACUUCACAUCAUUAGGACUGAAUAUAACAUUGCAAUGUAAAUCAGUAGUGCAUUUCUUAACAGAUAACAAGUUUGAUGUGAAUUCAGGCAUAUAAAGAGCUCUAGACUCUUUAUUAAACAGUUUUAGAUUUCCUAUUCCUGUUAUUGCAAUCCUAUCACCAUUAGCAAUCAUUACAUGACCCUGAGCAGGUUCUAUGUCUUUAAUCAAGCUAUUAUCACUAAUCAUGUGAUGGGAAGCACCUGAAUCUACAAUCAGUGAUUUUAUUACAUUAUGCGCAGCAAAGGUACUUGGUUGUCUCAGGUUAUCUAAUCUAGAUGCACCACUUAACUUGAAUUCAGGAUCACUACUGAGAUGAGCACAAGUCCUAUCUAGGUAUGAUGCAGCAAGAGAGUAACAAGGGUUAUUUCCAAUACAGUUACCAUUCUCCUUGAGAGCUUUGAUGAGGGCGUCUAUGUCUGAUCUCCGGAUCAACUCGCCUUCAGUGCUCCUCAAGGGUGUGUGCUGAGUAGUUAAGGCUCUCCCCUCACCCUCACGCAUUGCUGAGCCAGCCCCGGAUGAGCUAGCUUCUCCUCCUUCAUUAGAUAGGUGCGCCCUUGCCUCUCUAUCUUUCAUGAACUUAGCUGGCUUGAGAUGAGGAUGUAGGAUCCAGCACUGGCUCCUUUUGUGACCUAGCUUCUUGCAAUGAUCACAGUUGCCCCCAAACUUCCUCUCCUCACUCUUGUAUGCCGCUUUGUUUGCUUGAGCUCCAUCCGCAUGGUUAGCUAAGGUGAGCUCCCCCUUUCCUCCAAACAGCCCCACUGACCCUUCUUCUUUCUGUAUCUGAGCGCACACAUCUUCAAGUGAUGGUAGCUUUGGAGACCUCAGUAUGUGUUUGAUCAGAUCGUUAAAGAUAGGGUUCAAUGUCAGCAACAGCCCAAACACUUGAUCUUGAGCCCUCCUCUCCAUAAGAGUGUCAUGAUCAGUGGUGUUGGGUCUCAGCAUUUCUAGUUCAGACCAUAAGGCUCUGAACUUUCCCAAAUGCUUUACUCAACCUCUUCUUGCGCAAGUGUGUUGAUUGAUCUCUUCAACUCAAACACCCGGCUCAGAUUGGAUGUGUUCCCAUAGACCUUUUGAAGAGUAUCCCACAGGUCUUUUGGCGUCUCACAGUAGAUGUAGGCCUCCAAGAUUGAAGCUUCAAGCGACCCAUGAAGAACUGUCAACACCUUCAAGUCGUCUUGAUCCCACUUCUCUUGGUCCGCUACCAUCAGCUCUUGACCGCCUUCUCCCUCCGUAGAAACUGGCUUUGGAGUUCCAUCUGAGAUGUGACUCCACAAACCCUUGCUCCCAACUGCAGCUUUCACCAGGCGAGACCACAGCAAGUAGUUCCCACCUCCUUUCAACGUAACCGGAACCGUCAAAGUCUUGUUCUUGUCUUCCAUGAGUGUGACCGUGAGUAGAGAUGGUUUAGGAAUGAAGAUGGAGACUCUAGAGAUUUAGAAACCAGGAAAUGAGUAACCUGGCUCUGAUACCAUAUAAGAAUCUAAGAAUGAAAUGAUUAAGAUAGAACUUGGGUAGAUUAUGAGAGAUUAUGAAGAGUUUAGUGUAGAAUCAUGAUUGAGAGAGUAUGAUAAGAGAAAGGGAAACUCAGAACUGUAUGUUUAUUAUUAAUGACAAGAGUUACAAUAUAUAGUGAGAGAUCAGUAGGGUUUUCGAAAUCAUAAAGGAGAGCUAAGCAUGUGAAGUCAACAAGGUUAGGAUAAGCUCUCUUUAACUCGGCCAAUCAGCGUUCCCACAUGCUUGGAGCAUCUAGGAUCUUGGACAAAGAUGCUCUUGCCUUUCCAGCUGUGCCAGCCUGUAAAGCCGCGCCUCUCUUAUCCUCCAACGGUCUGAUUCAUCAGCCAAAGCCCCUUCUCUUCCUAUAAGUUACUCGGGUAACUCCUUGUAACCGCGGUCAAAGUUUCACUUGUCUGAAUGUGUACGGACCGUACGGCCUUGUACGGCCUUGUACGGUCAGGCCAAUGUGAACCUCUCCCAUCACACCAAUGCUUAACAUACUCUCUUCAGUCUUAACCCCUUUGUACUUCACACUUGUAUACUCAACUCUUCUCAACGGAUUCUAUCAAACCUAUAAACCAUCUUUAUAGUCUCAAACAAGUUAUAGUAAAUAUUUUCGACCAAAAAAGUUAUAGUGCAUAUGAAAAUUAAAAGACGUUAGUAUUAAAUAGAAACAAAGAAUCUCAAGAUAAUAAAACAAUAAUAAUCUCGAGAUAAUACUAAACUAUUAGUAAUUAGUGUAACUGGACAUAGGUAAACUUAUGUGAAAAGAAAAAGAGUCUUUACUUUUUGUCUUUGGUGAACAGAAGUCUUCGAACAUUAAAAUUUACAGAAAAAAAAAACAAUAAAUUUAGAGACAUAUCAAAAAGGAAAAACAAAAGUGGUCACUUUCAAAGCAGAAUAGUGGACACUUAACCGUGUUUAAGGGUUUUGAUGGUUUUCAAUAUUUUAUUCCCCUGGACAUUAUUAUUUGCAUGUGUCAUUACCACAUUUAUUUCACAAAAACAAUGACAUAGUUUUAAAAAAAACUGUGACAUUGCAUUAAGCUGAUUGUGACAUGUAAAAUUUCUUUAUGAAAUUAUAUUUGGCUAGAAUUUUUAAUAAGGUAAUGACUAUUAACUCUUAUACCAUUAUUAAACAUUUAAAUUUUAUGUAAUUAUAUUUAUUUUUGGCAAGACUUUUUAAAUAUUUAAUAAUUAAUAAUUUUUAUAUCAUCAUUAAAGAAAAUAUAAAAUAAACUAAACAUGACUACAUAUAACAUUUACAUUAAUUUAUAAAUUAAGAAAAUAAUUUAUAAAUUAAUUAAGAACAUGAUUUUCCACUAAAAGUAUUUUAACUAUAAUAAAAAAAAAUAUUAUUAAAAUUUAGGUAUUUAAAUAUAGACAAAAUUAAUUUGCAUAUGUGUCAUCACCAUAUUCAUUUUAAGAAAAUGACAUGGCUUUUGAAAUUAAAAUAUUAAUUAUAACUGUGUAUUAACAAAUAUAUAACUAAAAAAACACUAAUCAGUUUUUGUUGUUGAUGAUUAAUGAGUAAAACGUUUAUUAGCACUUAUCGGUUGAUUAGGUUAAUUAACAAAAAACUUUAUGGGCUUCAUGUAUUUAACUAAAACAAAUAAAAAUGUAACUUUAUUAAAUUUAAUAUAUAUAAAUAUAGACAUAUUUAAUAUUAGGAAAUAAGAUAAAUAUUUAAAUUAAAUAACCAAUAAAUAUAAUAAAAUAUAAAUAAAAAAAUUAUUUUUAGUAAAUGUAAUUAUAACUCUACUAAAUUUAAAUAAAAUAAAAUAGAAAUAGGUAACCAAAUUCGAAUUUUUUAAUAAAAAAAAUCACAUUUAUGAUUUUAUCUUUUUCCAAAUCGGUAAAUUUAAAAUAUAAAAAUAAUAAUAUCAAAAUGUAAAAUAAGUCUUGAAAAUAUUGUAAAGUUACAGUAAAAGUACAGAAAAUAAAAGAAAUGCUUUUCUAAAAUAAAAUAAAUACAAUAAGAUGCAAAGCUAAAAUUAGAGAAUAAUACAACACAGAGAUUAAAAUUUGAAGAAGUUUUCUUCUGAAUCAUUUUGCAUCUCAUUAUUCAACACCAUUUAUAUUUGGCUAUCAUUUUUAUGAUAUUUCAAAUUAUUUUUCGCAGUUUUGUUUGUUGUAUAAUAUUGUCCAUAUUCCACAUUAGAUCUACAUGUAUUUUUGAAAAAAUAAAUUCUAAUUUAUUGAUUCUCUCGAAAGAAAUAUUAAAUGAAAUUGCUAACUUUUAACAAUUCUAAAAUAUAUCUAUACAAUAAGGAAAUUGUAUUUUCAGUGAGGAAUGACCAAUAAACAUAUUGAAUUGUAAACAUAUAAUAUUUUUUGGUCGCAUCACUUCUAUACCCAUGACAAUGAACACUAUAGUGACUUCCAUGGUAAUUGUUUUCACAACAAAGUUGUUAAGAUGAGUUCCUUACCACUUACUAGUUUCUAAACAAUUAGAUUAAGUUGCUCACCUUCUAUCUCAGUUUCGAAUGCAAGACUCACAUGCUCACCGACGUGGCCUGGAACUCUGCCUCUCGUAAAGCAGGAGGUGGCUGGUACUGAAUUGAUCAUGAGAAUGUUGUUAUCUUGCAGGGUGCCCGAGUCUUUGAUCGUAUUUCCUCCCCACUGAUGGCGAAAGCCAUAACCAUCCGAUCUCUUGAAGCUGGAAUCACAGAAAUCUGCAUAAAAUCAGAUUGUCAAGUACUUAUUGCUGCUAUGUCUUCGAAACGUUUUCCGGCGGAUCUCUACGGAAUCUCCCGAGAUAUCGAGACUCUAUCUCUUUGCUUCCUUUGUAUUUCCUUUUGUUUUAUCCCGAGGAACCUGAACUCUAGAGCCAAUUCUUUGGCUAAGUCUGUAUUAAACUCUUCUCCCACCAACUAGUUUGGUCAGGGUAGCAUUUAUAAUAUUUGGUGUUCAAAAAAAAAAAUUAAGUUGCAUGACAUUGAUCUCACUCAAAUUACUCUAAAGAGUAAAUUUACUCUCUCAAAUAAGAGGUUUAUUGCAGUAUUUAGGGAUCGAAUCCACAAGGAGUUAGAGAACCUAAUAAAUCUAAUGGGUUUUGUUAAGUUGGAUGGUUUAAUGAUUAAAAUGUAAAUUUACAGUUUUGUUUGAGCAAGUAAUUGCUCGAUUGAUUGGUUGAGGUUUUGGUGCUUAAAAGAAAAUAGCUAGACUUAGGGUUUUUAUUUUUCCUUGAAAUUAUAAUCUUACGGAUGCCUAAUGGGUUGCAUGCAUGAUAAUGUAGAGCUCAACUACUAAGCAACAAGUCAAUCAGCUCUCGCGUUUCUGGACUUUUCUAUUAACUAGAUCUAAUGACCCAAACAAAUGUGUUCGAUCAAUAGCAAGUGUCGAUCGAUUAUCCUAUAGGGAUAUCGAUCGAUACACCUUUCACUCCGUCGAUCGAUUAUCCAAUAUGUAUAUCGAUCGACGCGCUUCUAAUUAGGAUUUAUGCGCAGGUUGAAUGAUGCUCACUAAGCUCACUAGAUCAGCUCUCGCCUUACUCUUAGCAAGAAACUUAGCUCAAUUAGAAUGGUUUCAGGAUGAGAAUGAAGCUAUCGCUUUUAUCUAACAAUCCUAGGGCAAAUUCUAGGUAGUUAAUCUAGAAUCAGGCAUUAAUGACAAUCCUAAUGAUUAUUAUCACAAUUCAGCAAUCUAUAGUUGGGGUUAAUCCCUCAUAACCUAUUUAAACCCUAAAAUCUAACAAUGGAACUAAUCAGACAUGGCCAAGCAAUUCAUAACAACAAUUAGGUAAGAAAACUUCAUUAGAAUAUUAAAUAGAUAUUAAUGGAGUUCCAAUCACAAAUAUAAUUUUGGAUCUUUUCUCCAAUAUAUCAAAAUCCUAAAAACCUUUUGCUGAUAUAAUAGUAAAACUAGAAACACAAGAAAAGCACACUUUGCCUCUAACAUGGUGGUAAGGCUUAUAUAAUUAGGUUAAAACUCGUCAGGGUAAUCUUGUAAAUUAGUGAAUACUUGGGCUUCAAGUCGGCUGUGACCAAACGGGCUUUCUGCGCGCUUCGCUGUCGAUCUAUGUUCACAUCGAUCGAUGUUCUGAUGUGAACAUCGAUCGAUAUUUGUUCCUCGAUAUCGACCGAUGGUCGAGCUCGACGGUCAUCUCGGAUGCUUACUCCAAAUAUCUCCAAAAUCAUCAAUUAUCUCCAAAUCACUCCUCAUCUUAUAAAUAUAAUAAAUAGAUUCUAUAAUAUAAUAAUUAGUAGUAAAAACACCUAUAAACCACGGUGAAAAUGGGUCAAAUUCGUGGUUUAUCAGACAUCGAUUAUGGACACAUAGUCUAUCCCGGAGAUUUCAAGAGCUGAUUGGAAAGGAAAAAAUUUAACUCUCAAUCCGCCUUAAAAAAAAAAAAUCCUCCUCUCAACAAAAGAAAAGUACAAAAGAUAGAGAAGCAUCGAGAGACUGAUCAUGCUUUGAUCAGAUUAGGGCUUGAGUAAUCUAGGACUUCUCCUUUAAGAUUACCAUUAACAUCGCAAGGAGAGAACGGUUACUCCCGUACAAACUUAUCUAUGUAUCUAUUGUUUAUAGCAUUAAAACCUUAUUUUUUUCUUAUUCGAUCAAAAAAUGUUUUGAUGCUAUAAACAAAAUAAAACAAUUUAAUAAAAUGAUGAUAAUAAUAAAAUUCAAGAAAAAUAACUAACAAAAACAAUUGUUAAUUAUGGUGUGAUUAAUAUACAAAUUUACUCAAGACUGUAUACUAUCUUUUAUAUAUAACUGCAUGUACUUGUAAAAUUGUUAAAUAAGCAUAAUUAUGAAAAUAAUAGAUAAAGAAUAAUUUGUAAAAGCAAUGGAUAAAAAGAUUAAGUUAAAGUUAAAAAUGUUGAUAAAUACAUAUAAAACAUUGGUUAGCCUUUAAAUAUUAGUGAAGUAUGAGUUAAGAAAUUUUUUUUAACAAAAACAAAAAAACUUUUUAAAACCAACACCACAAAAAUAAAACAUUUAAUAAAUAUGUAUAUUUUUAAUUUUAUAUUAAAUAAAUGCUCAAAGCCAAGGUUUAUUUUUCGAUUUAGUAGGCACGGCACCUAGUAAUAAUUCGUUCGUACGAGUUCAAUAUCUCCUCACUCUCUAUCUCGACUCUAUAUAAACUCUCUCGCAUAUUCACAUAUUCCACACAACUUCACAAAACAUGUCUUCUUCGUUUCUCUCCUCCACUGCUUCCUUCCUUUUUGUUCUUCUCUACAUUGGUUCCUUCCACGUCUCCGAUGGAGCUCAACAAGGAACAUACAUCGUUCACAUGGCGAAAUCUCAGAUGCCCUCGAGCUUCGACCACCACUCUCUCUGGUACGAGUCCUCUCUCAAGUCCAUCUCAGAAUCUGCUGAAAUGCUCUACACUUACAACAAUGCGAUUCACGGAUUUGCCACUCGGCUUACUCCCGAAGAAGCUGACUCGCUCAAGACUCAACCAGGUGUCAUCUCCGUUCGACCAGAGCAGCGGUAUGAGUUACACACCACUCGGACUCCACUAUUCCUCGGCCUCGGCGUACACAACUCCGGCCUGUUCCCUGAAACCGGUCCAGGCAGCGACGUCGUCAUCGGAGUUCUCGACACAGGUGUUUGGCCAGAGAGCAAAAGCUUCUCGGACGAAGGAUAUGGUCCUAUUCCGUCUACCUGGAAAGGCGAAUGCGAGGCUGGGACAAAAUUUACCACUUCCCUCUGUAACCGCAAACUAAUCGGAGCUAGAUUCUUCGUUUGUGGUUAUGAAGCAGAGUAUGGACCAGUGGACGAAUCUAAAGAGUCGAGAUCGCCUAGAGACGACGACGGUCACGGAACACACACAGCUUCAACCGCGGCUGGAUCCAUCGUGGAAGGAGCUAAUCUUUUGGGCUUCGCUAACGGGACGGCUCGUGGGAUGGCUUAUCGCGCUCGAGUGGCUGUUUACAAAGUUUGUUGGAAACCUAAAUGCUUCAGCUCAGAUGUUUUAGCUGGAAUCGAUAAAGCCAUCGAAGAUAAUGUCAACGUUCUGUCGUUAUCUCUUGGCAAAAGAAACAGAGAUUAUACUAACGAUGUUGCCAUGGGAGCAUUCUCGGCCAUGGAAAGAGGGAUCUUUGUUUCCUGCUCUGCUGGUAAUGAUGGUCCCAGCCCAUCCAGCUUAUCGAAUGUAGCUCCAUGGAUUACUACUGUUGGUGCUGGUACAUUAGAUCGUGAUUUUCCGGCACUAGUGACUCUUGGCAACGGGAAGAGUUAUAUUGGAGCUUCCUUGUUUAAAAAAGAUGCUCUUCCGCCUACACUGUUGCCGUUUGUUUACGCCGGGAGUGCUAGUAACAAUGCUACUUAUGGAAAAUUUUGUCUCUCCGGAACACUAAUUCCGGAGAAGGUAUAUGGGAAGAUCGUGAUGUGCGAGAAAGGAGAGAAUGAUAGAGCUGAGAAAGGAGAGGUGGUGAAAGCUGCUGGUGGACUCGGAAUGAUUCUGCCGAAUAGGGCGAAUAGGGGAGAAGAGCUUGCCGCAAAGGCCCAUGUGUUACCGGCGACCACUGUGGGACAAAAAGCCGGUGACAUUAUCCGGCGCUACGUCAAGACGGAUCCGAGUCCGACCGCUUCGAUUGUGAUCCAAGGAACGGUCGUCAAAGUCAAGCCCUCUCCUGUGCUUGCAGCUUUCAGCUCGCGAGGACCUAAUCCCAUAACGCCAAACAUUCUCAAACCGGACUUGAUCGCUCCUGGAGUCAAUAUCCUCGCCGCAUGGACCGGAGCUCUAGGACCUUCCGGACUCGCUUCCGAUACUAGCCGCGUGGAAUUCAACAUCAUCUCAGGAACGUCCAUGUCUUGCCCUCAUGUGAGCGGUUUAGCGGCUCUUCUCAAAUCAGUGCAUCCAGAUUGGAGCCCGGCGGCAAUUCGAUCAGCUCUCAUGACGACCGCUUACAAUACCUACAAAGACGGAAAACCAUUGCUCGACAUCUUAACGGUAAAACCUUCAACACCAUUCGGGCACGGUGCAGGACACGUAUCACCUGCGACGGCCAUCAGUCCAGGACUCAUCUACGAUCUAACGACUAAGGAUUAUAUAGAUUUCCUCUGCGCAUUGAAUUACAAUUCGUCGCAGAUAGGAUGCGUGACGAGAGGCAAUUACGCUUGCGAUCCAAGAAAAAUGUACUCCGUCGCUGAUCUAAACUAUCCGUCCUUCUCAGUUAGCGUCCACGGGUCCGGAGGCACGUACAAGUACACACGCACGGUCACAAACGUGGGAGGAGCUGGUUCGUACACGGUUAAAGUAAUCUCUGAGACAGCAGCAGUCAAGAUUUCGGUUGAACCGGCGGUUUUGAAUUUCAAAAAAGUGAAUGAGAAGAAAUCGUACUCGGUUACGUUUACCGUUGUCUCAUCCAUGGCGCCAAGGUCUAACAGCUUCGGGAGCAUUGAAUGGUCAGAUGGGAAACACGUGGUGGCCAGUCCCGUGGCGAUUAGCUG